AGAGUUUGAUCCUGGCUCAGGACGAACGCUGGCGGCGCGCCUAACACAUGCAAGUCGAACGGAGCUAUGUUGAAAGCUUGCUGGAUAUAUAGCUUAGUGGCGGACGGGUGAGUAACACGUGAGCAACCUGCCUUUCAGAGUGGAAUAACGUUUGGAAACGAACGCUAAUACCGCAUAAUGUCAGAGGACGGCAUCGCCUUUUGACCAAAGAUUUAUCGCUGAAAGAUGGGCUCGCGGCCGAUUAGGUAGUUGGUGAGAUAACAGCCCACCAAGCCGACGAUCGGUAGCCGGACUGAGAGGUUGAACGGCCACAUUGGGACUGAGACACGGCCCAGACUCCUACGGGAGGCAGCAGUGGGGGAUAUUGCACAAUGGGGGAAACCCUGAUGCAGCGACGCCGCGUGAGGGAAGACGGCCUUCGGGUUGUAAACCUCUGUCUUCGGGGACGAAUAAAUGACGGUACCCGAGGAGGAAGCCACGGCUAACUACGUGCCAGCAGCCGCGGUAAUACGUAGGUGGCAAGCGUUGUCCGGAAUUACUGGGUGUAAAGGGAGCGUAGGCGGGGAGGCAAGUUGAAUGUUUAAACUAUCGGCUCAACUGAUAGUCGCGUUCAAAACUGCCACUCUUGAGUGCAGUAGAGGUAGGCGGAAUUCCUAGUGUAGCGGUGAAAUGCGUAGAUAUUAGGAGGAACACCAGUGGCGAAGGCGGCCUACUGGGCUGUAACUGACGCUGAGGCUCGAAAGCGUGGGUAGCAAACAGGAUUAGAUACCCUGGUAGUCCACGCCGUAAACGAUGAUUACUAGGUGUGGGGGGACUGACCCCUUCCGUGCCGGAGUUAACACAAUAAGUAAUCCACCUGGGGAGUACGGCCGC
rnacentral:rRNA from 1 species